rnacentral:rRNA from 1 species
UACAGAGGUCUCAAGCGUUGUUCGGAUUUAUUGGGCGUAAAGGGCGCGUAGGCGGCUCUGCACGUCCGUUGUGAAAUCGCCCGGCUCAACUGGGCGGGGUCAGCGGAUACGGCGGAGCUUGAGCAAGCUAGGGGGCAAUGGAAUUCCCGGUGUAGUGGUGGAAUGCGUAGAUAUCGGGAGGAACACCAGUGGCGAAGGCGGUUGCCUGGGGCUUUGCUGACGCUGAUGCGCGAAAGCGUGGGGAGCGAUCCGG